rnacentral:rRNA from 1 species
UACAGAGGUCUCAAGCGUUGUUCGGAAUUAUUGGGCGUAAAGAGCUUGUAGGCGGUCUGUCGCGUCUGCUGUGAAAAUCCGGGGCUCAACCCCGGACUUGCAGUGGGUACGGGCAGACUAGAGUGUGGUAGGGGAGACUGGAAUUCCUGGUGUAGCGGUGAAAUGCGCAGAUAUCAGGAGGAACACCGAUGGCGAAGGCAGGUCUCUGGGCCACUACUGACGCUGAGAAGCGAAAGCAUGGGGAGCGAACAGG